rnacentral:rRNA from 1 species
UGGGGAAUAUUGCACAAUGGGCGAAAGCCUGAUGCAGCAACGCCGCGUGAAGGAAGACGGUUUUCGGAUUGUAAACUUCUGUUCUUAGUGAAGAAUAAUGACGGUAACUAAGGAGCAAGCCACGGCUAACUACGUGCCAGCAGCCGCGGUAAUACGUAGGUGGCAAGCGUUGUCCGGAAUUACUGGGUGUAAAGGGAGCGUAGGCGGGAAGCCAAGUCAGCUGUGAAAACUACGGGCUUAACCUGUAGACUGCAGUUGAAACUGGCUUUCUUGAGUGAAGUAGAGGUUGGCGGAAUUCCGAGUGUAGCGGUGAAAUGCGUAGAUAUUCGGAGGAACACCGGUGGCGAAGGCGGCCAACUGGGCUUUAACUGACGCUGAGGCUCGAAAGUGUGGGGAGCAAACAGGAUUAGAUACC